AGCGAAGCCACUUAGAUACUGUAGGAUUAUGCACAUGAAGCGCAGAAAUGACUUGCCAUGGAAGGCAAGUCAAGGAGAACCGCGCCAUGGAAGGCGCGUUUCGACGGUUUCGUCAGGCAUAGAAGCAUAAAAAGCAUAAUCCGUACAGAAUCUUAGCAGCAAAGC
rnacentral:ncRNA from 1 species